rnacentral:rRNA from 1 species
CGUAACGAGAUGGGAGCUGUCUACAACCAGGGAUCCAGUGAAAUUGUAGUGGAGGUGAAAAUUCCUCCUACCCGCGGAAAGACGGAAAGACCCCGUGCACCUUUACUACAGCUUGACACUGUAGCUUGGAUAUUCAUGUGCAGGAUAGGUGGGAGGCUAUGAUGACUAGACGCAAGUAGAGUCGGAGCCAUCCUUGAGAUACCACCCUUGAAUAUUUGAGUUACUAACUGCGUACAAUUAUCUUGUAUCAGGACAAUGUCUGGUGGGUAGUUUGACUGGGGCGGUCGCCUACCUAAAAAGUAACGGAGGCUUACAAAGGUUAGUUCAUGGCGGAUGGAAAUCGCCAGUUGAGUAUAAUGGCAUAAACUAGCUUGACUGUGAGACAUACAAGUCGAACAGAGACGAAAGUCGGUCAUAGUGAUCCGGUGGUUCUGUGUGGAAGGGCCAUCGCUCAAAGGAUAAAAGGUACGCCGGG